UGGGCCCAGGGUCACCCUCUGACUCUGCGGCCACGGGCAGACAGGGCAGAGGUGGAGUUGGGCC
rnacentral:pre_miRNA from 1 species